rnacentral:lncRNA from 1 species
AAGGUACAAUUCGGUUAACGAGGUUAGGUUACUAAUUGUGGGAGGAACUAGCCCGAAAAAGUCAUUAAAGGCAAGAUCCAAGAACUCAAGUUUGUUGAGAUUUCCAAAUUCAGAAGGGAGUGAUGACCUGAAGUUGUUGGAACCUAGAUCAAGGUAACUGAGGUGGUGCAACUCAAACAGGCUAGUAUUGUUGGGAUUCAGAGUUCCAGAGAAAUGAUUAUGAGAAAGGUCUAAAAACGAGAGCUUUGUUAGAUUCCGUACAAGUGGGAAACUACCAGUGAGCUGGUUGUGGUCAAGGUACAAAUCGGUUAACGAGGUUAGGUUACUAAUUGUGGGAAGAACUUGCCCGUAAAAGUCAUUGGAGUGAAGAUACAAGACCUCUAACCUGUUGAGAUUUCCAAAUUCAGAAGGGAGUGAUGAGGUGAAGUUGUUUUGACUUAGAUCAAGGUAACGGAGGUGGUGCAACUCAAACAGGCUAGUACUCUUGGGAUUCAGACUUCCAGAGAAAUGAUUAUUAGAAAGGUCUAAAAACGAGAGCUUCGUUAGAAUCCUUACAAGUGGGAAACUACCAGUGAGCUCGUUUAGGGAAAGAGAUAAAUAG